GGUGGUUUUUGAGCAAUUUGGGCCUAUUAAACCAGAUGGCAUUCAAGUUAGAAGUCAGAAGCAAACAGGGAACUGUUUCGGUUUUGUAGAAUUUGAAUCUGCCAGUUCAGUGCAAAGUGUGCUCAAGGCUUCUCCUAUUUCAAUUGGCAAUCAAAGAGCUUCCAUUGAAGUAAAGCGAGGUUAGUGGAAGUUCCAAAAAUCCAUCUUCGGCUCUUACAAUCACACCUCUGUCGAUUCACUCGCUCUCCAUCUCACAUGCCACUGCUCUAUCACCUCCUCCGUGCGACACCACAAUCACCUCCAGAUGCGUCACCGUCGUCCUACUUCCGGCACUUGCCGGUGACCUCUCGAUUCUUCCACUCCGGUCUUGCGAUUUAGCAUAUUGGUGGCGCAGCUAGAGUCUAUAGUCGCCUCCGCAUUGCAACAAUCGCCUGACCCUCUCCUCUGCGUCGAUCUCCCCUCCGAUCUCAUCUCCGCCAUUGACAAAGAGCCCAAGGUUGGUCGAUCUAAACGGUUUGCUGGGAGAAAUUUGCAAGGUACUUUGAGGUGGAGCUGAAGGAGGUGAAGCUAAGAGAUGGAUACAAUGUAAUGGACCCUCAAAAAGCAGUUUAAAUGAACAGAAUGAUGGAGGCCCAGAUUGUUUCACAAACUGUCAAGUCUCAUGGAGUUAGAGUUGCAAGGACACAUGCAUGAUUGGCUGAUACUUUUGCUUCUUGUGGUUGGCAAUAAAGAAGACAUAUAUAAGCCAACAAAUCUUCAAUGAAUUGAUAUCUUCUCAUGGUCUUACUGAUGCUUCUGUGGAAGCUUUCCGAGAUUGUGCUCUACAGGUUGUUUUGUUGGGUGAAUAUCCUGGAGUGAAGGAUAGUUGGAUGGAUGUUAUUGCUUCACCAGGGUCGUCUUCUUUACUCUCUGUUGAUCUUUGUGGUUCUGAUGUCACAGAUACUGGGUUGGACCUCUUAAAAGAUUGUACCAACAACCAAGCAUUAACCUUUAACAAUUGUGACAAAAUUUCAGAACUUGGGCUGAAGCACAUUAGUGGUGAUCCUUUCUAUUUUUUCCUAUUACACGCAGCUAGCUUAAGUUUAAUGUAUGGGAAUUUAUAUUCGUAAAUUUUCUAAAACAGUUAUUUAAGAGCUGCUUCUCAGCGAUGAUUAAUGCCCGAAUAAAAAAAAAAUUAUUUACGGUAUGUGCAUGUUUAUGUACUGCAAAAAGAGUCUGUGAUGUGA